CGGAAUCGCUAGUAAUCGCAGAUCAGCAUGCUGCGGUGAAUACGUUCCCGGGUCUUGUACACACCGCCCGUCACACCAUGGGAGUCGGAAAUGCCCGAAGUCAGUGGCCCAACCGCAAGGAGGGAGCUGCCGAAGGCAGGUCCGGUGACUGGGGUGAAGUCGUAACAAGGUAAC
rnacentral:rRNA from 1 species